UUAAGUUAGAAAGGGCGCACGGUGGAUGCCUUGACACUAGGAGUCGAUGAAGGACGGGACUAACGCCGAUAUGCUUCGGGGAGCUGUAAGUAAGCUUUGAUCCGAAGAUUUCCGAAUGGGGAAACCCACCAUACGUAAUGGUAUGGUAUCCUUAUCUGAAUACAUAGGGUAAGGAAGACAGACCCAGGGAACUGAAACAUCUAAGUACCUGGAGGAAGAGAAAGCAAAUGCGAUUUCCUGAGUAGCGGCGAGCGAAACGGAACAUAGCCCAAACCAAGAGGCUUGCCUCUUGGGGUUGUAGGACAUUCUAUACGGAGUUACAAAGGAACGAGGUAGACGAAGCGACCUGGAAAGGUCCGUCGUAGAGGGUAACAACCCCGUAGUCGAAACUUCGUUCUCUCUUGAAUGUAUCCUGAGUACGGCGGAACACGUGAAAUUCCGUCGGAAUCUGGGAGGACCAUCUCCCAAGGCUAAAUACUCCCUAGUGAUCGAUAGUGAACCAGUACCGUGAGGGAAAGGUGAAAAGCACCCCGGAAGGGGAGUGAAAGAGAUCCUGAAACCGUGUGCCUACAAAUAGUCAGAGCCCGUUAACGGGUGAUGGCGUGCCUUUUGUAGAAUGAACCGGCGAGUUACGAUCCCGUGCGAGGUUAAGCUGAAGAGGCGGAGCCGCAGCGAAAGCGAGUCUGAAUAGGGCGUUUAGUACGUGGUCGUAGACCCGAAACCAGGUGAUCUACCCAUGUCCAGGGUGAAGUCCAGGUAACACUGAAUGGAGGCCCGAACCCACGCACGUUGAAAAGUGCGGGGAUGAGGUGUGGGUAGCGGAGAAAUUCCAAUCGAACCUGGAGAUAGCUGGUUCUCCCCGAAAUAGCUUUAGGGCUAGCCUUAAGUGUAAGAGUCUUGGAGGUAGAGCACUGAUUGGACUAGGGGUCCUCAUCGGAUUACCGAAUUCAGUCAAACUCCGAAUGCCAAUGACUUAUCCUUAGGAGUCAGACUGCGAGUGAUAAGAUCCGUAGUCAAAAGGGAAACAGCCCAGACCGCCAGCUAAGGUCCCAAAGUGUGUAUUAAGUGGAAAAGGAUGUGGAGUUGCUUAGACAACUAGGAUGUUGGCUUAGAAGCAGCCACCAUUUAAAGAGUGCGUAAUAGCUCACUAGUCGAGUGACUCUGCGCCGAAAAUGUACCGGGGCUAAAUACACCACCGAAGCUGCGGAUUGAUACCAAUGGUAUCAGUGGUAGGGGAGCGUUCUAAGGACAGUGAAGUCAGACCGGAAGGACUGGUGGAGUGCUUAGAAGUGAGAAUGCCGGUAUGAGUAGCGAAAGACGGGUGAGAAUCCCGUCCACCGAAUGCCUAAAGGUUUCCUGAGGAAAGGCUCGUCCGCUCAGGGUUAGUCAGGACCUAAGCCGAGGCCGACAGGCGUAGGCGAUGGACAACAGGUUGAUAUUCCUGUACCACCUCUUUAUCGUUUGAGCAAUGGAGGGACGCAGAAGGAUAGAAGAAGCGUGCGAUUGGUUGUGCACGUCCAAGCAGUUAGGCUGAUAAGUAGGCAAAUCCGCUUAUCGUAAAGGCUGAGCUGUGAUGGGGAAGCUCCUUAUGGAGCGAAGUCUUUGAUUCCCCGCUGCCAAGAAAAGCUUCUAGCGAGAUAAAAGGUGCCUGUACCGCAAACCGACACAGGUAGGCGAGGAGAGAAUCCUAAGGUGUGCGAGAGAACUCUGGUUAAGGAACUCGGCAAAAUGACCCCGUAACUUCGGGAGAAGGGGUGCUUUCUUAACGGAAAGCCGCAGUGAAUAGGCCCAAGCGACUGUUUAGCAAAAACACAGCUCUCUGCGAAGCCGUAAGGCGAAGUAUAGGGGGUGACACCUGCCCGGUGCUGGAAGGUUAAGGAGAGGGGUUAGCGUAAGCGAAGCUCUGAACUGAAGCCCCAGUAAACGGCGGCCGUAACUAUAACGGUCCUAAGGUAGCGAAAUUCCUUGUCGGGUAAGUUCCGACCCGCACGAAAGGUGUAACGAUUUGGGCACUGUCUCAACCAGAGACUCGGUGAAAUUAUAGUAUCUGUGAAGAUGCAGGUUACCCGCGACAGGACGGAAAGACCCCGUGGAGCUUUACUGUAGCCUGAUAUUGAAUUUUGGUACAGUUUGUACAGGAUAGGCGGGAGCCAUUGAAACCGGAGCGCUAGCUUCGGUGGAGGCGCUGGUGGGAUACCGCCCUGACUGUAUUGAAAUUCUAACCUACGGGUCUUAUCGACCCGGGAGACAGUGUCAGGUGGGCAGUUUGACUGGGGCGGUCGCCUCCUAAAGUGUAACGGAGGCGCCCAAAGGUUCCCUCAGAAUGGUUGGAAAUCAUUCGUAGAGUGCAAAGGCAUAAGGGAGCUUGACUGCGAGACCUACAAGUCGAGCAGGGACGAAAGUCGGGCUUAGUGAUCCGGUGGUUCCGCAUGGAAGGGCCAUCGCUCAACGGAUAAAAGCUACCCCGGGGAUAACAGGCUUAUCUCCCCCAAGAGUCCACAUCGACGGGGAGGUUUGGCACCUCGAUGUCGGCUCAUCGCAUCCUGGGGCUGUAGUCGGUCCCAAGGGUUGGGCUGUUCGCCCAUUAAAGCGGUACGCGAGCUGGGUUCAGAACGUCGUGAGACAGUUCGGUCCCUAUCCGUCGUGGGCGUAGGAAAUUUGAGAGGAGCUGUCCUUAGUACGAGAGGACCGGGAUGGACGCACCGCUGGUGUACCAGUUGUUCUGCCAAGGGCAUAGCUGGGUAGCUAUGUGCGGAAGGGAUAAGUGCUGAAAGCAUCUAAGCAUGAAGCCCCCCUCAAGAUGAGAUUUCCCAUAGCGUAAGCUAGUAAGAUCCCUGAAAGAUGAUCAGGUUGAUAGGUUCGAGGUGGAAGCAUGGUGACAUGUGGAGCUGACGAAUACUAAUAGAUCGAGGACUUAACCAU
rnacentral:rRNA from 1 species